rnacentral:rRNA from 1 species
UACGUAGGGCGCAAGCGUUGUCCGGAAUUAUUGGGCGUAAAGAGCUCGUAGGCGGUUUGUCGCGUCUGCUGUGAAAACGCGAGGCUCAACCUCGCGCCUGCAGUGGGUACGGGCAGACUAGAGUGCGGUAGGGGAGAUUGGAAUUCCUGGUGUAGCGGUGGAAUGCGUAGAUAUCGGGAGGAACACCAGUGGCGAAGGCGACUACCUGGCCUGUUCUUGACGCUGAGGCGCGAAAGCUAGGGGAGCAAACGGG